rnacentral:rRNA from 1 species
GACGUAGGGUGCGAGCGUUGUCCGGAUUUAUUGGGCGUAAAGAGCUCGUAGGCGGCUUGUCGCGUCGACCGUGAAAACUUGGGGCUCAACCCCAAGCCUGCGGUCGAUACGGGCAGGCUAGAGUUCGGUAGGGGAGACUGGAAUUCCUGGUGUAGCGGUGAAAUGCGUAGAUAUCAGGGGGAACACCCGUGGCGAAGGCGGCCAGCUGGGCCGACUCUGACGCUGAGGCGCGAAGGCGUGGGGAGCGAACGGG